rnacentral:rRNA from 1 species
GCUGGCGGCGUGCUUAACACAUGCAAGUCGAACGCGCAGCAUUCUGUAGCAAUACAGGCUGUGGGCGCGUGGCGAACGGGUGCGUAACACGUGGAUAACCUUCCUUGAGGUGGGGAAUAACCCAGUGAAAAUUGGGCUAAUACCGCAUAACAUCGCGAUGGCACAUGCUGAUGCGAUCAAAGGCGCAAGUCGCCACAAGAGGGAUCCGCGGCCGAUUAGCUUGUUGGCGAGGUAAUGGCUCACCAAGGCAAUGAUCGGUAGCCGGACUGAGAGGUUGGCCGGCCACACUGGAACUGAGACACGGUCCAGACUCCUACGGGAGGCAGCAGUGGGGAAUCUUGCACAAUGGACGAAAGUCUGAUGCAGCAACGCCGCGUGGGGGAUGAAGCUUCUCGGAGUGUAAACCCCUUUCGACCCGGAAGAAUGCCCGCAAGGGUAUGACGGUACGGGUAUAAGAAGCCCCGGCUAACUACGUGCCAGCAGCCGCGGUAAUA